rnacentral:tRNA from 1 species
UGGGGCGUAGCCAAGUGGCAAGGCACGGGGUUUUGGUCCCCGCAUUCGAAGGUUCGAGUCCUUCCGCCCCAGCAA